rnacentral:rRNA from 1 species
AGCGAACGCUGGCGGCAGGCCUAACACAUGCAAGUCGAACGAAGUCUUCGGACUUAGUGGCGGACGGGUGAGUAACACGUGGGAACGUACCUUUUGGUUCGGAACAACUCAGGGAAACUUGAGCUAAUACCGGAUGAGCCCUUAGGGGGAAAGAUAUAUCGCCGAAAGAGCGGCCCGCGUUAGAUUAGCUAGUUGGUGAGGUAAAGGCUCACCAAGGCUACGAUCUAUAGCUGGUCUGAGAGGAUGAUCAGCCACACUGGGACUGAGACACGGCCCAGACUCCUACGGGAGGCAGCAGUGGGGAAUCUUGCGCAAUGGGCGAAAGCCUGACGCAGCCAUGCCGCGUGAAUGAUGAAGGUCUUAGGAUUGUAAAAUUCUUUUACCAGGGACGAUAAUGACGGUACCUGGAGAAAAAGCCCCGGCUAACUUCGAGCCAGCCGCCGCGGUAAUAC